GAAAAUAGUCUUUUGUCAUAAAAAGGUGAAGACGCCUGUUGAGCUACACCUCUAACCACACCUAAUAAAGCCUGCUUACACUUCGGGUGAACCAAUUGUCAUGACAGACUCUAUUGUCAUUAAGGCUAUUACUGACAGAGUUACAGGGACAAAUUUUCAGUGUUUAAAUUUGACAGUCAUGAGUUUCAAGAAUAAAACAAGGUUUGAUUUUUCUAAAUAUGACAAGAUCAGUUUUGCUCAUCUCACUAUACUAUGUCUAUGGCUGGGGCUCAGUGCAUACACAGCACAAGCACAAACAACAGCAGAAACAACUACAUCUAUACUGAGUAAUGCUCCAACAAGUACAAUUCUGGAUUCAACAACUACAGAGGGAACAACAAGCCCUACAAAUGUAUCGUCAACUACAUCAACAGAAUUUACAAAUACAAAUAUGAGUACAACUCAAGAUACAACAAGCAAGGAAACAACAGAAUUAACAACCUCAGGUUUGUACACAACACAACCUACAACACCACCAACAUCAGCAGAAACCACCACACUGACAACAACUAGCACCCCAACAAAUACAAUUCCUGAGACAACCACUGCAGCAACUGAAGAAUCCACUACAACACAAACAACACAAUCUGCCACCACAACUAUAUACACAACACCAACAACAUCAGCAGAAACCACCAGACUGACAACAAUUAGCACCCCAACAAGUACAAUUCCUGAGACAACCACUGCUACAACUGAAACAUCCACUACAACACCAACAACAGAAUCUGUCACCACAACUCUA